rnacentral:rRNA from 1 species
GAUGAACGCUGGCGGCGUGCUUAACACAUGCAAGUCGAACGGAACUCAUUGGAACAAGACUUCGGUCAAGGGAAUUUGAGUUUAGUGGCGGACGGGUGAGUAACGCGUGAGGAACCUGCCUCGGAGUGGGGAAUAACAGUUAGAAAUGACUGCUAAUACCGCAUGAUGCAUUUGGGUCGCAUGAUCCGGAUGCCAAAGAUUUAUCGCUCUGAGAUGGCCUCGCGUCUGAUUAGCUUGUUGGCGGGGUAACGGCCCACCAAGGCGACGAUCAGUAGCCGGACUGAGAGGUUGGCCGGCCACAUUGGGACUGAGACACGGCCCAG